rnacentral:tRNA from 1 species
GCGUUGGUGGUAUAGUGGUGAGCAUAGCUGCCUUCCAAGCAGUUGGUCGGGGUUCCAUUCCUGGCCAAUGCA